AUAUAGAUUUUGCUAACUAAUUGGAAUUAAAUUGAAUCAAAAUAUUAUCAUUCAAAACCUAAUGAAGAAUCUAAGUUGACAACCACGUUUCCUAAUAACAUAGUACACUAGAUGAUAAAGCAAGGAAAGAAAAGUACAA